CAGCAGCCACGGUAAAACGUAGGGUGCAAGCGUUAAUCGGAAUUACUGGGCGUAAAGCGUGCGCAGGCGGUUAUAUAAGACAGAUGUGAAAUCCCCGGGCUCAACCUGGGAACUGCAUUUGUGACUGUAUAGCUAGAGUACGGCAGAGGGGGAUGGAAUUCCGCGUGUAGCAGUGAAAUGCGUAGAUAUGCGGAGGAACACCGAUGGCGAAGGCAAUCCCCUGGGCCUGUACUGACGCUCAUGCACGAAAGCGUGGGGAGCAAACAGGAUUAGAGACCCGUGUAGUCCCUGUCUCUUAUAC
rnacentral:rRNA from 1 species